AGGCGCGGCGGUGGACGUUAAGUCGUAACAAUGGCAUAUCAAUAGAGCGGAGGACACGGUGGAAGUACAUGUGCACGCUUUGUUCAUCCACCUUCAUACCUCUGUGCACUUCUCAUGGGUUGGGUCGCGCUUGAAAAAUAGCAAAGCCCCUCUCAUGUGUUCUAACACACACUACAAGUUUUAGAAUGUCACAAUCAUGCAUCAAUGCAUAUAAUACAACUUUCAGCAACGGAUCUCUUGGCUCUCGCAUCGAUGAAGAACGCAGCGAAAUGCGAUAAGUAAUGUGAAUUGCAGAAUUCAGUGAAUCAUCGAAUCUUUGAACGCACCUUGCGCUCCUUGGUAUUCCGAGGAGCAUGCCUGUUUGAGUGUCAUGGUAUUCUCAACCCUCCUGCAUUUUUUUUGCAGUUGGGAUUGGACUUGGAGGCUUUUGCUGGUGGUCAUACAUUCAUGUCUGAACGCCGGCUCCUCUGAAAAGCAUUAGCUAGAAUAUUACUGAGCAUGAUUCAAUGUGAUAAUUGUCUCACUUGCUUCCCCUCGGUAUUAAAUGUGUUCAAGCUUCAAAUCGUCUUCACAGACCCCAUCUGAACAUCUGACCUCAAAUCAGGUAUGACUACCCCCUGAACUUACCCAUAUCAAUAAG
rnacentral:rRNA from 1 species